CACAGAGCCAGGGCGAAGAUCACAUAUGGUAUGAGAUUUCGUCAGAAAUUUGUGGGGCGCAUGGAUCGUCCUGGUCAUCAAAAUGAGGAAGUCGUGCCUUUGGAGCACACAGACCUUCAGAAAGGAAAACAUUUCAGGUUCCUAUCAGGAAAAUCAGCUACCCUCUGCUGAACCCAUUCAGAGUUCAGCCACUGAGAGGAAACACGAAAGCUGACACGUUCACUAGCCUGAACACAUGAAACUAAUAAAAACCAAAGCAAAACAGGCUUAACCCACCCAUCACCUUCUGAAGAGAAUACCUAUGACUCAAAAUUAGGAAAUGACAAACACCACGAGCAGACCAGAGGGAAGUUAGUUGCCAAAGUGUUUACAGGAGAGUCAUCUACCCAAUGUGACAGACAGCUCAGUCUCCAUCUCUGC
rnacentral:lncRNA from 1 species